UACGGAGGGGGCUAGCGUUGUUCGGAAUUACUGGGCGUAAAGCGCGCGUAGGCGGGUCUUUAAGUCAGGGGUGAAAUCCUGGAGCUCAACUCCAGAACUGCCUUUGAUACUGAGGAUCUUGAGUUCGGGAGAGGUGAGUGGAACUGCGAGUGUAGAGGUGAAAUUCGUAGAUAUUCGCAAGAACACCAGUGGCGAAGGCGGCUCACUGGCCCGAUACUGACGCUGAGGCACGAAAGCGUGGGGAGCAAACAGG
rnacentral:rRNA from 1 species